GCCAGAGUGGUGAAAAUGGCAGACACGCCAGAUUUAGGAUCUGGUGCCGAAAGGCGUAUGGGUUCGACUCCCUUCUCUGGCA
rnacentral:tRNA from 2 species